GAGUAAUCAAGUGUCAAAAGGGCGUUCGGGGAAUGCCUUGGCGGUAAGAGGCGAUGAAAGACGUGGCACGCUGCGAUAAGCUUCGGCGAGGUGCGAGCAACCUUAGACCCGGAGAUUUCUGAAUGGGGAAACCCACCUCAGAGAUGUAAGUAGAUAUCUAAUCUUCGGGUUAGAUAUCGAUCUUACAUUUCAUAUACGAGGUAUUUUAACCUGAAUUCAUAGGGUUAAAAAGCGAACCCGGAGAACUGAAACAUCUCAGUACCCGGAGGAAAGGACAUCAAACGAGACUCCCUUAGUAGUGGCGAGCGAACAGGGACCAGGCCGUGCUCUGAAACAACGAGAACCAGAUGGAAAGCUGGGCCAUAGCGGGUGAUAGCCCCGUAUCGGUAAAAUGAAGAGCCGUUAGAGUAAGGCGGGACACGUGAAAUCCUGUCUGAAGAUGGGGGGACCACCCUCCAAGCCUAAGUACUCCUUACCGACCGAUAGCGAACAAGUACCGUGAGGGAAAGGUGAAAAGACCCCCGACGAGGGGAGUGAAACAGAUCCUGAAACCGAACGCCUACAAGCAGUGGGAGCGAAAGUGACCACAUACCUUUUGUAUAAUGGGUCAGCGACUUAGUUUAACGAGCAAGCUUAAGCCGAUAGGCGUAGGCGCAGCGAAAGCGAGUCUGAAUAGGGCGCCCAAGUUCGUUGAAUUAGACCCGAAGGCAAGUGAUCUAGGCAUGUCCAGGCUGAAGGUGCAGUAACAUGCACUGGAGGGCCGAACCCAUGAAUGUUGAAAAAUUCUGGGAUGAGGUGUGCCUAGGGGUGAAAGGCUAAUCAAACUUGCUGAUAGCUGGUUCUCCGCGAAAACUAUUUAGGUAGUGCGUCGGCUGAAUACGUCAGGGGGUAGAGCACUGGAUGGGCUAGGGGUCCUCGCAGGAUUACCAAACCUAACCAAACUCCGAAUACCUGACAGUAAUAGCCGGCAGACACACGGUGGGUGCUAACGUCCAUCGUGAAGAGGGAAACAACCCUGACCGUCGAUUAAGGCCCCCAAGUAAUGGCUAAGUGGGAAAGCAUGUGGGAAUGCUGUAACAACCAGGAUGUUGGCUUAGAAGCAGCCAUCAUUUAAAGAAAGCGUAACAGCUCACUGGUCAAGCGUUCCUGCGGCGAAAAUGUAACGGGGCUCAAGCCAUUCGCCGAAAUCACGGGCUCGAAAGAGCGGUAGCGGAGCGUACUGUAAGCCUGCGAAGGAAUAUCGUGAGGUAUUCUGGAGGUAUCAGUAGUGAGAAUGCUGACAUGAGUAACGACAAACAGUGUGAAAGACACUGUCGCCGAAAGACCAAGGGUUCCUGCGUAAAGUUAAUCUGCGCAGGGUUAGUCGGCCCCUAAGGCGAGGCGGAAACGCGUAGUCGAUGGGAACCAGGCGAACAUUCCUGGACCAGGAGGUGGUGACGGAUUUCGAAAGUCGUACAGGCUUAUUGGAUUGUCUGUGCGGCCUGGAAGUCCCAGGAAAUAGCCCCUCCAUUAGACCGUACCCGAAACCGACACAGGUGGUCAGGUAGAGUAUACCAAGGCGCUUGAGAGAACUAUGCUGAAGGAACUAGGCAAAUUACACGCGUAACUUCGGGAUAAGCGUGCCUCAUUAGAACGCAAGUUUUAGUGAGGGGCACAAGCCAGGGGGUGGCGACUGUUUAUCAAAAACACAGGGCUCUGCGAAGCCGCAAGGCGACGUAUAGGGUCUGACUCCUGCCCGGUGCCGGAAGGUUAAAGAGAGGUGUGCAAGCAUCGAACUGAAGCCCCGGUGAACGGCGGCCGUAACUAUAACGGUCCUAAGGUAGCGAAAUUCCUUGUCGGGUAAGUUCCGACCUGCACGAAUGGAGUAACGACUUCCCCGCUGUCUCCAGCAUAGACUCAGUGAAAUUGAAUUCCCCGUGAAGAUGCGGGGUUCCCGCGGUUAGACGGAAAGACCCUGUGAACCUUAACUAUAACUUCGCAGUGGCGUUAUCGGUGGUUUGUGUAGGAUAGGCGGGAGGCUUUGAAGCAUGGGCGCCAGCUCGUGUGGAGCCAACCUUGAAAUACCGCCCUAAUCUUCGGUGACGUCUAACCUCGACCCAUUAUCUGGGUCAGGGACCCUGCGUGGCGGGUAGUUUGACUGGGGCGGUCGCCUCCCAAAGAGUAACGGAGGCGCGCGAUGGUAGGCUCAGUCCGGUCGGAAAUCAAGAGUCCAUAUCGACGGCAUCGUUUGGCACCUCGAUGUCGGCUCAUCUCAUCCUGGGGCUGGAGCAGGUCCCAAGGGUAUGGCUGUUCGCCAUUUAAAGAGGUACGUGAGCUGGGUUCAGAACGUCGUGAGACAGUUUGGUCCCUAUCUGCCGUGGGUGUAGGAAACUUGAGAGGAUUUGUCCCUAGUACGAGAGGACCGGGAUGAACAUACCUCUGGUGGACCAGUCGUGACGCCAGUCGCGCAGCUGGGUAGCUAUGUAUGGACAAGAUAAUCGCUGAAAGCAUCUAAGCGAGAAACUUACCUCAAAACCAGGUUUCCCUGAGAGCCGUGAUAGACCAUCACGUCGAUAGGCCAGGUGUGGAAGGUCCGUGAGGACUGCAGCUUACUGGUACUAAUUGCUCGAUAGGCUUGAUAACUCU
rnacentral:rRNA from 1 species